CCUACGGGUGGCAGCAGUGAGGAAUAUUGGUCAAUGGACGAGAGUCUGAACCAGCCAAGUAGCGUGAAGGAUGACUGCCCUAUGGGUUGUAAACUUCUUUUAUAUGGGAAUAAAAUGUUCCACGUGUGGGAUUUUGUAUGUACCAUAUGAAUAAGGAACGGCUAACUCCGGGCCAGCAGCCGCGGUAAUAAGGAGGAUACGAGCGUUAGCCGGAGUUAUUGGGGUUAAAGGGAGCGUAGGUGGCAUGUUAAGUCAGUUGUGAAAGUUUGCGGCUCCACCGUACAAUUGCAGUUGAAACUGGCAGUCUUGAGUACAGUAGAGGUGGGCGGAAUUCGUGGUGUAGCGGUGAAAUGCUUAGAUAUCACGAAGAACUCCGAUUGCGAAGGCAGUUCACUGGACUCCAACUGACACUGAGGCUCGAAAGUGUGGGUAUCAAACAGGAUUAGAUACCCGUGUAGUC
rnacentral:rRNA from 1 species